UGCUGACAUAAGUAACGAUAAAGCGGGUGAAAAGCCCGCUCGCCGGAAGACCAAGGGUUCCUGUCCAACGUUAAUCGGGGCAGGGUGAGUCGACCCCUAAGGCGAGGCCGAAAGGCGUAGUCGAUGGGAAACGGGUUAAUAUUCCCGUACUUGGUGUUACUGCGAAGGGGGGACGGAGAAGGCUAUGUUGGCCGGGCGACGGUUGUCCCGGUUUAAGCGUGUAGGUGUGUGUUCCAGGUAAAUCCGGUUCACUUUAACACUGAGGCGUGACGACGAGGCACUACGGUGCUGAAGCAACAAAUGCCCUGCUUCCAGGAAAAGCCUCUAAGCAUCAGGUAACACGAAAUCGUACCCCAAACCGACACAGGUGGUCAGGUAGAGAAUACCAAGGCGCUUGAGAGAACUCGGGUGAAGGAACUAGGCAAAAUGGUGCCGUAACUUCGGGAGAAGGCACGCUGACAC
rnacentral:rRNA from 2 species